ACUCACGAUCUUAUAUCCACUGACUGUCUUGUUAGAUUAACCCAAUAAAUUUCAUUCACUCCGCAUACUCAAUCCUAUAGACACCCUUUUAACUCUUCAUCAUAGACGUAACUCGAUUUCACAAAACAGUCAAGAGUAAUCAAACCCACUUCAUUAAAAAUCCCGAUUCACCAUUACAACGUUGACUUCAGCAACGAUUGCCUCAGU
rnacentral:lncRNA from 1 species